UUUACAUAGGUUUAGAGGUCAAUUAUAUGUAGGUCAAGUAGAAAAACGAAUUUCCUAGAUAUUCCAAUAAAAUCUUCAAAGAUGGGUAUCAAUUUGAAUAAGGUAGGUUACCAAAAGUUAGGGAUAGUGUAUAUCUCUAACUACCAAGUCCAUCUUUUAAUUAGGUAUUGAGCACCUAGCCCUAAUGGGCCGAUUCCCUCUAAAUACCCAACUUAAUUGGGUUACUACAAUUGUGGUGUGGAUCUUUAAUACAUAUUUCAAUCCCGGGCUUAAAGCCUAUGAAACGAACGGGUCUCGAUUUUUCAUCAUUGCCUAGGGGGUUGUUUGGGCAUCACUAAAAUACCUAACA
rnacentral:lncRNA from 1 species